rnacentral:rRNA from 1 species
GACGAACGCUGGCGGCGCGCCUAACACAUGCAAGUCGAACGAGCGAGAGAGAGCUUGCUUUCUCGAGCGAGUGGCGAACGGGUGAGUAACGCGUGAGGAACCUGCCUCAAAGAGGGGGACAACAGUUGGAAACGACUGCUAAUACCGCAUAAGCCCACGGCUCGGCAUCGAGCAGGGGGAAAAGGAGCAAUCCGCUUUGAGAUGGCCUCGCGUCCGAUUAGCUAGUUGGUGAGGUAACGGCCCACCAAGGCGACGAUCGGUAGCCGGACUGAGAGGUUGAACGGCCACAUUGGGACUGAGACACGGCCCAGACUCCUACGGGAGGCAGCAGUGGGGAAUAUUGCACAAUGGGGGAAACCCUGAUGCAGCGACGCCGCGUGGAGGAAGAAGGUCUUCGGAUUGUAAACUCCUGUUGUUGGGGAAGAUAAUGACGGUACCUAACAAGGAAGUGACGGCUAACUACGUG